rnacentral:rRNA from 1 species
UACAGAGGUCCCGAGCGUUUGUUCGGAUUCAUUGGGCGUAAAGGGUGCGUAGGCGGCGGGGCAAGUCUGAUGUGAAAUCCCGGGGCUCAACCCCGGAACUGCAUUGGAUACUGCCUUGCUCGAGUACUGGAGAGGGAACUGGAAUUUACGGUGGUAGCAGUGAAAUGCGUAGAUAUCUGGAGGAAUACCGGUGGCGAAGGCGGCAUCCUGGACCGGCAUUGACGCUGAGUGAGCGAAAGCCAGGGGAGCAAACGG